AGAGCACUGCUCGGGUUGCCGGCGAUGGAAUCGAAGGAUGCGUCGUGGGUACCGGAGUUGGCCGAUGCGCCUGGGAGGCAACGUCUGCUGAUUCGCCUAGAAGUAAGUCCUCCUCUGCGGCCUCCACCUUGUGGAGUUUGGCUCUGGUGCCUGACGACGAUUGCUACGCAACUUCGAUGGCGGUGACGGAUGGAUCUCUGGAGGCUUCGAGGAAGAUGAAUAGGAGUUGUAAACUUCUAUGUAAUUUU
rnacentral:lncRNA from 1 species